rnacentral:lncRNA from 1 species
GAAGAUAUCUGGUAGCUUUGGAGAGGAGAGAGAGGUGGAGGGGAGAGAGAGAGGUGGAGGGGUAGGGAGAGAGAGAGAGGUGGAGGGGUAGAGAGAGAGAGGUGGAGAGGGAGAGAGAGAGGUGGAGGGGUAGAGAGAGAGGUGGAGACAGAGAGGUGGAGGGGGAGACACAUUGGUUGUUCCUAUUGCAACGAUAAUGUCUCUGAAACCUUUCUAGUCCCCAGUACGUCCUCCUCCUCCCAGUACGUCCUCCUCCCCAGUACAUCCUCCUCCUCCCAGUACGUCCUCCUCCCCAGUACGUCCUCCUCCUCCCCAGUACAUCCUCCUCCCCAGUACGUCCUCCUCCUCCC